ensembl:lncRNA
CGCCUUCAGUGGACUGUUUGUUACAGAAUACACCACCCUUAAAAAUGAACCCAGCAGAUCUUCUUGUUCGUCUUCGCCAAGGAAACCGGGCCAUAGAGGAUUACGUGGAGGACUUUUGUGGACUUUAUUAUAAGGUAGACUUUAAGGAUAGCUUCUUGAAAGACAUAUUCCGUUAUGGUUUGGAUAAACAUAUAUCUUGUUUAAUGCCACGUAAUACCCCUCAGUGGACUCUUGAAAAAUAUAUUGACCAUGCUCUUUUGCUGGCGGGUUCACCACUUACUGUGGGGGUUGCUGAGGAAGAACACAGCUAUCCCACAGUACCCGCCACAUCAGAACUUUUCCACGUCCCAACCAUCAUGUCAGGAGUUGUUCACAUCACGCCAGCCACGCCAAGGCCUACUCACAUCAUGUCUGCCAAGCCACAGCCUUCUCAUGUCAUGCCUGCCAAUCCACAGCCUUCUCACGUCAUGCCUGCCCAGCCACAGCCUCGUCACGUCUCAGCUGAACUUCCAGAGCCUUGUCACGUCUCAGCUGAACUUCAAGAGCCUCGUCACUCCUCAGCUGAUCAUCCAGGGUCCCGUCACGACAUGGUCGCCAUUCCAGAGUCCCGUCACAACAUGCCUGUCGAGCCAGGGCCUUCACACAAGAUGGCCGCCACGGCAGAGUCCCCGGCCAAGAUGGCCGCCACGGCAGAGUUCCCGGCCAAGAUGGCCGCCACGCCUGAGUCCCCGGCCAAGAUGGCUGCCACGCCUGAGUCCCCGGCCAAGAUGGCCGCCACGCCUGAGUCCCCGGCCAAGAUGGCCACCACGCCUGAGUCUCGUCACGUGCCUGCCAAGCCACAGCCUCGUCACGUCUCAGCUGAACUUCCAGAGCCUUGUCACUUCUCAGCAGUCACCAUUUUGAGUGUGUGGGCCACUCACUGCAUUCCAGAGACUUUUCCUGUCCACGAGCUCUCUGCCUGCCCUGUCACGGCCAAGGAGGCUGUCCAUGAGCUCUCUGCCUGUCCUGUCACGACCAGGGAGGCCAUCCAAGAGCUCUCUGCCUGUCCUGUCUCGGCCACGGAGGCCACUCAUGAACUCACUGCCUGUCCUGUAACGGCCAAGAAGGCCGUCCAUGAAUUCUCUGCCUGCCCUGUCAUGGCCAAGGAGGUCGUCCACAAACUCUCUGCCUGUUCUGCCAUGGCCAAAGAGGCCAUCCACAAACUCUCUGUCUGCCAUGUUACGGCCAAGGAGGCCACUCAUGAACUCACUGCCUGUCCUGUCAUGGCAACGGAGGCCAUCCAAGAAAUCACUGUCUGUCCUGUCACGGUCAAGUGGUCUGUCCAUGUCUCUGCUUCACCAUGGCUUCCAGCUCUGCCUGCACUGCCUGGCCACUCCGCUGGGCCUGCACCAAACCCCCCCCCCCCCCCGCAAGGAGCGGCUUCCAGACGCUCUAAACAAUCUAGGAGGGCGGUGGAGCAGGCGGAACUGGAGCCCUUCCUGGGCUUAACUGGGGAUCUGGAGCCCUUCCUGGGCCUAACUGGGGAACAGGAGCCCUUCCUGGGCUUAACAUGGGGAACAAGAGCCCUUCCUGGGCUUAACAUGGGGAACAGGGCGGAGCAGUCGGAGCCGGAGCCCACCAGGGCGGAGCAGAGGACCACCACAGCCAAG